rnacentral:rRNA from 1 species
UAACUGCCGCCUUCGGACACGCAGAGCACCGGCCAAGAAAUCUCUCCCGCACGCGGUCCCGUCUCGCCCUGCUGCACCGAUCCUCCUUGCCGUGCCAUGGCACGGCCAGCGUCCCUCGACUGUGAUUCUGACGACUAUGACUCCGACUCCGGCUAUGCUUCCGGUGACGAAACUCGGCCUAAUAAGCGUCUUGUGUAUGAUUCUGAUGGAGGACUCUACAUUGAUGAUGAUGAUGAUGACGACGACAACGAUGACGACAUCGACGACGAGGAGGAUGAAUAGAAAGCCACGUAACAGCUGGGAGGCUGGCAUGGCAUGAAGAGGCCAGCAGAAGCAGUUACGGAGUGCAAGUCUAGCUAGUGGCAGAAAUGUUGUUUUUGUAAAUAUGUUUGCUUGUGUGAUGAGACCAAAUGUAAAUGUAUUGAUGUGAUUGAACUAACUGUUAGCGUUUUACUACAUAAGAAGGCACUGUCAGC